GACGAACGCUGGCGGCGUGCUUAACACAUGCAAGUCGAACGGAAAGGCCCUUCGGGGUACUCGAGUGGCGAACGGGUGAGUAACACGUGGGUGAUCUGCCCUGCACUUUGGGAUAAGCCUGGGAAACUGGGUCUAAUACCGAAUAGGACCACGCGCUUCAUGGUGUGUGGUGGCAAGCUUUUGCGGUGUGGGAUGGGCCCGCGGCCUAUCAGCUUGUUGGUGGGGUAAUGGCCUACCAAGGCGACGACGGGUAGCCGGCCUGAGAGGGUGACCGACCACACUGGGACUGAGAUACGGCCCAGACUCCUACGGGAGGCAGCAGUGGGGAAUAUUGCACAAUGGGCGCAAGCCUGAUGCAGCGACGCCGCGUGAGGGAUGACGGCCUUCGGGUUGUAAACCUCUUUCAAUAGGGACGAAGCGAAAGUGACGGUACCUAUAGAAGAAGCACCGGCCAACUACGUG
rnacentral:rRNA from 1 species